rnacentral:rRNA from 1 species
UGGGGAAUAUUGCACAAUGGGCGCAAGCCUGAUGCAGCCAUGCCGCGUGUAUGAAGAAGGCCUUCGGGUUGUAAAGUACUUUCAGCGGGGAGGAAGGCGAUAAGGUUAAUAACCUUGUCGAUUGACGUUACCCGCAGAAGAAGCACCGGCUAACUCCGUGCCAGCAGCCGCGGUAAUACGGAGGGUGCAAGCGUUAAUCGGAAUUACUGGGCGUAAAGCGCACGCAGGCGGUCUGUCAAGUCGGAUGUGAAAUCCCCGGGCUCAACCUGGGAACUGCAUUCGAAACUGGCAGGCUAGAGUCUUGUAGAGGGGGGUAGAAUUCCAGGUGUAGCGGUGAAAUGCGUAGAGAUCUGGAGGAAUACCGGUGGCGAAGGCGGCCCCCUGGACAAAUACUGACGCUCAGGUGCGAAAGCGUGGGGAGCAAACA